AACCCCUGCAUUCAGUUGCCAUCGGGUAAUGCCGGGCACUCUGGAAGGACUGCCAUCGACAAGAUGGAGGAAGGUGGGGAUGACGUCAAGUCAUCAUGGCCCUUAUGUCCAGGGCGACACACGUGCUACAAUGGCCGGCACAACGGGAAGCGAGUUCGCGAGGACGAGCGGAUCCCUCAAAGCCGGUCGCAGUUCGGAUUGAAGUCUGCAACUCGACUUCAUGAAGCUGGAAUCGCUAAGUAAUCGUGGAUCGAGCCAAGCCGCGGUGAAUACGUUCCCGGGCCUU
rnacentral:rRNA from 1 species